rnacentral:tRNA from 1 species
GGAGUCAUGGCUCAGAGAUAGAGCACACGCCUAGCAUGCGCGAGGCACUGAGUUCCAUUCUCAGCACCA